rnacentral:rRNA from 1 species
GACGAACGCUGGCGGCGUGCCUAAUACAUGCAAGUAGAACGCAGUUGCGAACGGGUGAGUAACGCGUAGGUAACUGCCUGGUAGCGGGGGAUAACUAAUGGAAAAGAUAGAUACUACCGCAUACUACCAGAUGGACCUGCGUUGUAUUAGCUAGUUGGUGAGGUAACGGCUCACCAAGGCAACGAUACAUAACCGAGCUGAUAGGGUGAGCGGCCCCACUGGGCCUGAGACACGGCCCAUACUCCUACGGUAGGCAGCAGUAGGGAAUCUUCGGGAAUGGGGGGAACCCUGACCGAGCAACGCAGCGUGAGGGAAGACGGUUUUCGGAUCGUAAAGCUCUGUUGUUAAGGAAGCGGUACUUAACCAGAAAGGGACGGCUAACUACGUGCCAGCAGCCGCGGUAAUUC